rnacentral:rRNA from 1 species
AAAUUGAAGAGUUUGAUCAUGGCUCAGAUUGAACGCUGGCGGCAGGCCUAACACAUGCAAGUCGAACGGUAACAGGAAGCAGCUUGCUGCUUUGCUGACAAGUGGCGGACGGGUGAGUAAUGUCUGGGAAACUGCCUGAUGGAGGGGGAUAACUACUGGAAACGGUAGCUAAUACCGCAUAACGUCGCAAGACCAAAGAGGGGGACCUUCGGGCCUCUUGCCAUUGGAUGUGCCCAGAUGGGAUUAGCUAGUAGGUGGGGUAACGGCUCAC